CUGGAGCAAGAAGAUCUCAUGCUGUGACCCUACAAAGGGAAGCACUUUCUCUUGUCCAAAGGAAAAGAAGGCGCUUCCCUUUGGAGUGUUACGGUUUGAGAAAAGC
rnacentral:pre_miRNA from 2 species